AUUGAACGCUGGCGGCAUGCCUUGCACAUGCAAGUCGAACGGUAACAGGUCUUCGGAUGCUGACGAGUGGCGAACGGGUGAGUAAUACAUCGGAACGUGCCCGAUCGUGGGGGAUAACGAAGCGAAAGCUUUGCUAAUACCGCAUAAGAUCUACGGAUGAAAGCAGGGGACCGCAAGGCCUUGCGCGAACGGAGCGGCCGAUGGCAGAUUAGGUAGUUGGUGGGAUAAAAGCUUACCAAGCCGACGAUCUGUAGCUGGUCUGAGAGGACGACCAGCCACACUGGGACUGAGGCACGGCCCAGACUCCUACGGGAGGCAGCAGUGGGGAAUUUUGGACAAUGGGCGAAAGCCUGAUCCAGCCAUGCCGCGUGCAGGAUGAAGGCCUUCGGGUUGUAAACUGCUUUUGUACGGAACGAAAAGACUCUUUCUAAUAAAGAGGGUCCAUGACGGUACCGUAAGAAUAAGCACCGGCUAACUACGUGCCAGCCGCCGCGGUAAAAC
rnacentral:rRNA from 1 species